rnacentral:snRNA from 1 species
GUCGCUUCUCGGCCUUUUGGCUAAGAUCAAGUGUACUUUCUGUCUCUCUGAGUUUGACUACUCUAGGUACCUCCUAUAAAUGAAAUUGCACACUGU